rnacentral:rRNA from 1 species
AAAACGGAGAGUUUGAUCCUGGCUCAGGAUGAACGCUGGCGGUAUGCUUAACACAUGCAAGUCGAACGGAACCUUUAGGGGUUUAGUGGCGGACGGGUGAGUAACGCGUGAGAAUCUGGCUUCAGGUCUGGGACAACAGUUGGAAACGGCUGCUAAUACCGGAUGUGCCCAUGGGUGAAAGGCUUGCUGCCUGAAGAUGAGCUCGCGUCCGAUUAGUUAGUUGGUGUGGUAAGAGCGCACCAAGACGGCGAUCGGUAGCUGGUCUGAGAGGACGAUCAGCCACACUGGAACUGAGACACGGUCCAGACUCCUACGGGAGGCAGCAGUGGGGAAUUUUCCGCAAUGGGCGAAAGCCUGACGGAGCAAUACCGCGUGAGGGAGGAAGGCUCUUGGGUUGUAAACCUCUUUUCUCAGGGAAUAAAAAAAUGAAGGUACUUGAGGAAUAAGCAUCGGCUAACUCCGUGCCAGCAGCCGCGGUAAUACGGAGGAUGCAAGCGUUAUCCGGAAUGAUUGGGCGUAAAGCGUCCGCAGGUGGUUUAUCAAGUCGG